UACAGAGGUCCCGAGCGUUGUUCGGAUUCACUGGGCGUAAAGGGUGCGUAGGCGGCGCGGUAAGUCGGGUGUGAAAUCUCGGAGCUUAACUCCGAAACUGCAUUCGAUACUGCCGUGCUUAAGGACUGGAGAGGAGACUGGAAUUUACGGUGUAGCGGUGAAAUGCGUAGAUAUCGUAAGGAAGACCAGUGGCGAAGGCGGGUCUCUGGACAGUUCCUGACGCUGAGGCACGAAGGUCAGGGGAGCAAACGGG
rnacentral:rRNA from 1 species